CACGUAGGGGGCAAGCGUUGUCCGGAUUUAUUGGGCGUAAAGAGCUCGUAGGCGGCUUAGUAAGUCGGGUGUGAAACCUCCAGGCUCAACCUGGAGACGCCACCCGAUACUGCUGUGGCUAGAGUCCGGUAGGGGAGCGUGGAAUUCCUGGUGUAGCGGUGAAAUGCGCAGAUAUCAGGAGGAACACCAAUUGCGAAGGCAGCUCGCUGGGACGUGACUGACGCUGAGACGCGAAAGCGUGGGGAGCAAACAGG
rnacentral:rRNA from 1 species